UGGUUUCAACCUAAUUGAACCAACCUUAUUAAAAUAGGUUAGGCACAAUUAGACUAAAUUAAACCCAACAUAAUUAGACUUAAUUAGGAUCAAUAAAAUUCUAAUCAAAUCAGAAAUUGACUAAGUCCAACCCUUGAUCAGAUCAGGGACCAAACCACCUUGGCGAUUAGGUCAACUCUUAACCUAAUCAAGUCAAACCCAACUGAAUCCAAUUCAAUUGGACUUGAUCCAAAAAUAAUUACUCAAUCAAAUUGAGUUAAUUAGUGAUCAAAUCAUUAAUUAAAUCUCUCAUAAAUACUGAGUCCAAAUCUGAUGGGCAAUCGGACAUCAAAGUCCAUCGAUAUGAAACCUUGAUCGAAGAGUCCCAAACCAAUGGGACUCUUGACCCCGGUAC
rnacentral:lncRNA from 1 species